rnacentral:rRNA from 1 species
CCUACGGGAGGCAGCAGUGAGGAAUAUUGGGCAAUGGACGCAAGUCUGAACCAGCCAUGCCGCGUGAAGGAAGACGGCCCUAUGAGUUGUAAACUGCUUUUGUACGAGGGUAAACGCAGAUACGCGUACCUUUCUGAAUGUACCCUACGAAUAAGGAUCGGCUAACUCCGUGCCAGCAGCCGCGGUAAUACGGAGGAUCCAAGCGUUAUCCGGAUGUAUUGGGUUUAAAGGGUGCGUAGGCGGUCGGUUAAGUUAGCGGUGAAAUCCCGGGGCUCAACUUCGGAAUUGCCGCUGAUACUGUUAGGCUAGAGGGUAGUUGCGGUAGGCGGAAUGUGUGGUGUAGCGGUGAAAUGCUUAGAGAUCAUGCAGAACACCGAUUGCGAAGGCAGCUUACCAAGCUACAUCUGACGUUGAGGCACGAAAGCGUGGGGAGCAAACAGGAUUAGAUACCCCGGUAGUC